rnacentral:ribozyme from 1 species
GCUGCUCGAAGCUUUGCACACCUCUCCGUGGUGAGCGGCAGGCAACGCUGAUAAGACGUAAGCGAUUGCUUACGAUAGGGCGGCUAAGAAUGCAGAG